rfam:Gossypium raimondii Chr04_contig_890, whole genome shotgun sequence.
UAUUAAAAUUUUCAUCUAUUUGUACUACUGAAAAUUGGUGUGCCUAAUGGAAUAACCAGAAAAUAACAUGUGGUGUCCAUGUGUACAUCAUACUGACAUACAAGACUAAUUUUUAAUAGUAAAAAUGGAUAGAAUUUUGUAGGA